rnacentral:rRNA from 1 species
ACGGGUGCGUAACGCGUGGGAAUCUGCCCUUAGGUACGGAAUAACUCAGGGAAACUUGUGCUAAUACCGUAUGAUGUCGAGAGACCAAAGAUUUAUCGCCUAGGGAUGAGCCCGCGUUGGAUUAGCUAGUUGGUGGGGUAAAGGCCUACCAAGGCUACGAUCCAUAGCUGGUCUGAGAGGAUGAUCAGCCACACUGGGACUGAGACACGGCCCAGACUCCUACGGGAGGCAGCAGUGGGGAAUAUUGGACAAUGGGCGAAAGCCUGAUCCAGCAAUGCCGCGUGAGUGAAGAAGGCCUUCGGGUUGUAAAGCUCUUUUACCCGGGAUGAUAAUGACAGUACCGGGAGAAUAAGCUCCGGCUAACUCCGUGCCAGCAGCCGCGGUAAUACGGAGGGAGCUAGCGUUGUUCGGAAUUACUGGGCGUAAAGCGUACGUAGGCGGCUUUGUAAGUCAGAGGUGAAAGCCCACGG